rnacentral:lncRNA from 1 species
ACUUGAACUUGGCUUCUGGAAUCACCGCUGCCGGAGGCGGGAACAAGUGGGCUUUGGUGCAGAGAGUCCGAGUGACACCCCACGUGGGCGGCGGCAAGCGCCGGUGGCGGCUGGAGAGGCGGGGUGAAAGAGAAGCUAUGCAGAAAUCAGAGUGCUCUGGAGGUGUGCAAUUGAGAAACAGAGCAACAGUAAUGAUCGCACAUCCUCAAGCACACAGGUGAAACACAGGACUGCAGUUCAGCGCAGCAAAUCCUCCUCCUUAACCAGUUCUCCAGAGGCUGCCAGACGGGCUCAUCCUCGGCCAAGCGAUAAACUCAACCCUAAAACCAUUAACCCUUUUGGUGAACAGCCACGGGCCCCUUCUGCAUUUGCAGCU